UACAGAGGCCUCAAGCGUUAGGCGGAAUCACUGGGCUUAAAGCGCGUGUAGGCGGAUCGUUAAGUGUCUUGUGAAAUCCCACGGCUCAACCGUGGAACUGCUGGGCAUACUGGCGAUCUUGGGCCACUCAGGGGCAACCGGAACAAGCGGUGGAGCGGUGAAAUGCGUAGAUAUCGCUUGGAACGCCAAAGGUGAAGACAGGUUGCUGGGGGUGUGCCGACGCUGAGACGCGAAAGCCAGGGGAGCAAACGGG
rnacentral:rRNA from 1 species